rnacentral:rRNA from 1 species
GACAGAGGAUGCAAGCGUUAGCCGGAAUGAUUGGGCGUAAAGCGUCUGUAGGUGGCUUAAAAAGUCUCCUGUCAAAGAUCAGGGCUUAACGCUGGGCCGGCAGGAGAAACUCUUAGGCUAGAGUUUGGUAGGGGCAGAGGGAAUUCCCGGUGGAGCGGUGAAAUGCGUAGAGAUCGGGAGGAACGCCAAAGGCGAAAGCACUCUGCUGGGCCACAACUGACACUGAGAGAAGAAAGCUAGGGUAGCAAAAGGG